AAUGAACGCUGGCGGCAUGCCUAACACGUGCAAGUCGAACGAAGGCUUCGGCCUUAGUGGCGCACGGGUGCGUAACGCGUGGGAAUCUGCCCCUCGGUUCGGAAUAACAGCGAGAAAUUGCUGCUAAUACCGGAUAAUGACGAAAGUCCAAAGAUUUAUCGCCAAGGGAUGAGCCCGCGUAGGAUUAGCUAGUUGGUGUGGUAAAGGCGCACCAAGGCGACGAUCCUUAGCUGGUCUGAGAGGAUGAUCAGCCACACUGGGACUGAGACACGGCCCAGACUCCUACGGGAGGCAGCAGUGGGGAAUAUUGGACAAUGGGCGAAAGCCUGAUCCAGCAAUGCCGCGUGAGUGAUGAAGGCCGUUAGGGUUGUAAAGCUCUUUUACCCGGGAUGAUAAUGACAGUACCGGGAGAAUAAGCUCC
rnacentral:rRNA from 1 species